rnacentral:rRNA from 1 species
UACGUAGGGGGCAAGCGUUAUCCGGAUUUACUGGGUGUAAAGGGGGCGCAGACGGCGCGGCAAGUCCGGAGUGAAAUCCCAGGGCCCAACCCUGGGGCUGCAUUGGGAACUGCCAGGCUGGAGUGCCGGAGAGGCAGGCGGAAUUCCUAGUGUAGCGGUGAAAUGCGUAGAUAUUAGGAGGAACACCAGUGGCGAAGGCGGCCUGCUGGACGGUGACUGACGCUGAGGCUCGAAAGCGUGGGGAGCAAACAGG